UGUGUAGGCGGUUCUUUAAGUUUGCUGUGAAAUCUCCCGGCUUAACCGGGAGGGUGCGGUGAAUACUGAGGGACUAGAGUACGGGAGAGGAAAGUGGAAUUCCUGGUGUAGCGGUGAAAUGCGUAGAUAUCAGGAGGAACGCCGGUGGUGUAGACGGCUUUCUGGACCGUAACUGACGCUGAAACACGAAAGCGUGGGUAGCAAACA
rnacentral:rRNA from 1 species